rnacentral:misc_RNA from 1 species
GAUGAAGAACGUAGCGAAAUGCGAUAAGUAAUGUGAAUUGCAGAGUUUUGUGAAUCAUCGAAUCUUUGAACGCACAUUGCGCCCCCUGGUAUUCCGGGGGGCAUGCCUGUUCGAGCGUCAUUACAACCCUCAAGCUCUGCUUGGUAUUGGGCCCCGCCAGUUCUGGCGGGCCCUAAAGUCAGUGGCGGUGCCUUCCGGCUCCGAGCGUAGUAAUUCUUCUCGCUCUGGAGACCCGGUUGUGUGCUUGCCAACAACCCCCAAUUUUUUAAGGUUGACCUCGGAUCAGGUAGGGAUACCCGCUGAACUUAAGCAUAUCAAUAAGCGGAGGA